rnacentral:rRNA from 1 species
CCUACGGGAGGCAGCAGUGAGGAAUAUUGGACAAUGGGCGCAAGCCUGAUCCAGCCAUGCCGCGUGCAGGAAGACGGUCCUAUGGAUUGUAAACUGCUUUUGUACAGGAAGAAACACUCCCUCGUGAGGGAGCUUGACGGUACUGUAAGAAUAAGGAUCGGCUAACUCCGUGCCAGCAGCCGCGGUAAUACGGAGGAUCCAAACGUUAUCCGGAAUCAUUGGGUUUAAAGGGUCCGUAGGCGGUUUAAUAAGUCAGUGGUGAAAUCUGGUCGCUCAACGAUCAAACGGCCAUUGAUACUGUUAGACUUGAAUUAUUAGGAAGUAACUAGAAUAUGUAGUGUAGCGGUGAAAUGCUUAGAUAUUACAUGGAAUACCAAUUGCGAAGGCAGGUUACUACUAAUGGAUUGACGCUGAUGGACGAAAGCGUGGGGAGCGAACAGGAUUAGAUACCCUGGUAGUCCACGCCGUAAACGAUGGAUACUAGCUGUUCGGAGCAAUCUGAGUGGCUAAGCGAAAGUGAUAAGUAUCCCACCUGGGGAGUACGUUCGCAAGAAUGAAACUUAAAGGAAUUGACGGCNGAGAGAGACGAGACGACGACGAGGGAGGAGG